rnacentral:rRNA from 1 species
GACGAACGCUGGCGGCGUGCUUAACACAUGCAAGUCGAACGGUAAGGCUCCAGCUUGCUGGGGUACACGAGUGGCGAACGGGUGAGUGACACGUGGGUGACCUGCCCUGCACUUCGGGAUAAGCCUGGGAAACUGGGUCUAAUACCGGAUAGGACCGCACCGUGAGGGUGUGGUGGAAAGUUUUUUCGGUGUGGGAUGGGCCCGCGGCCUAUCAGCUUGUUGGUGGGGUAAUGGCCUACCAAGGCGGCGACGGGUAGCCGGCCUGAGAGGGUGGACGGCCACAUUGGGACUGAGACACGGCCCAGACUCCUACGGGAGGCAGCAGUGGGGAAUAUUGCACAAUGGGCGGAAGCCUGAUGCAGCGACGCCGCGUGGGGGAUGACGGCCUUCGGGUUGUAAACUCCUUUCACCAUCGACGAAGGGUUUCUGACGGUAGAUGGAGAAGAAGCACCGGCUAACUACGUGCCAGCAGCCGCGGUAAUACGUAGGGUGCGAGCGUUGUCCGGAAUUACUGGGCGUAAAGAGCUCGUAGGUGGUUUGUCGCGUCGUCUGUGAAAUUCCGGGGCUUAACUCCGGGCGUGCAGGCGAUACGGGCAUAACUUGAGUACUGUAGGGGAGACUGGAAUUCCUGGUGUAGCGGUGAAAUGCGCAGAUAUCAGGAGGAACACCGGUGGCGAAGGCGGGUCUCUGGGCAGUAACUGACGCUGAGGAGCGAAAGCAUGGGGAGCGAACAGGAUUAGAUACCCUGGUAGUCCAUGCCGUAAACGGUGGGCGCUAGGUGUGGGUUUCCUUCCACGGGAUCCGUGCCGUAGCUAACGCAUUAAGCGCCCCGCCUGGGGAGUACGGCCGCAAGGCUAAAACUCAAAGGAAUUGACGGGGGCCCGCACAAGCGGCGGAGCAUGUGGAUUAAUUCGAUGCAACGCGAGGAACCUUACCUGGGCUUGACAUAUACAGGAUCGCGCCAGAGAUGGUGUUUCCCUUGUGGCUUGUAUACAGGUGGUGCAUGGUUGUCGUCAGCUCGUGUCGUGAGAUGUUGGGUUAAGUCCCGCAACGAGCGCAACCCUUGUCUUAUGUUGCCAGCACGUUGUGGUGGGGACUCGUAAGAAACUGCCGGGGUUAACUCGGAGGAAGGUGGGGAUGACGUCAAAUCAUCAUGCCCCUUAUGCCCAGGGCUUCACACAUGCUACAAUGGUCGGUACAGUGGGUUGCCAGUCCGUGAGGGCGAGCUAAUCCCGCAAAGCCGGUCUCAGUUCGGAUCGGGGUCUGCAACUCGACCCCGUGAAGUCGGAGUCGCUAGUAAUCGCAGAUCAGCAACGCUGCGGUGAAUACGUUCCCGGGCCU